GACGAACGCUGGCGGCGGGCUUAACACAUGCAAGUCGAACGGAAAGGCCCUGCUUUUGUGGGGUGCUCGAGGGGCGAACGGGGGAGUAACACGUGAGUAACCUGCCCUUGACUUUGGGAUAACUUCAGGAAACUGGGGCUAAUACCGGAUAGGAGCUCCUGCUGCAGGGGGGGGGUUGGAAAGUUUCGGCGGGGGGGGCUGGACACGCGGCUGUUCGGCUGGUUGGUGGGGUGGUGGCCUACCAAGGCUUUGACGGGUAGGCGGCCUGCGCGGGUGACCGGCCACACUGGGCCUGCGCUACCGCCCGGACUCCUUCGGGAGGCAGCAGUGGGGGAUGUUGCACUGUCGGCGGAAGCCUGCUGCAGGAACGCCGCGUGCCGGAUGUCGGCCUUCCGUUUGUCAGCCGCUUUCGCCUGUGACGGAGCGUGAGUGACGGUACUUGGUAAAGAAGCACCGGCUAACUACGUG
rnacentral:rRNA from 1 species